rnacentral:rRNA from 1 species
GCUUGGGAGUCAGACAGUGUCAGAUAAAUGUCAUUGUCAAAAGGGAAACAGCCCAGAUCUACAGCUAAGGUCCCAAAGUCAGGUUAAGUGGAAAACGAUGUGAAGAUACGCAGACAACCAGGAUGUUGGCUCAGAAGCAGCCACUCAUUCAAAGAGUGCGUAAUAGCUCACUGGUCGAGCGUCUUUGCGCGGAGAAUUUAACGGGGCUAAACCUGACACCGAAGCUUAGGCAAUACAGUAAUGUAUUGGGUAGGGGAGCGUUGUAUACGCGGUGAAACAGUAGCGCAAGCGGCUGUGGAGUGUAUAGAAGUGAGAAUGCCGGAAUGAGUAGCGCGAAUGCAGUGAGAAUCUGCAUGGCCGAAAGCCUCAGGUUUCUGGAGGAAGGUUCGUCCGCUCCAGGUUAGUCGGGAGCUAAGGUGAGGCCGAAAGGCGUAGCCGAUGCACAGACGGUAGAGAUUCCGUCACCACCAAAAGAGUUAAGCACAGGGACACAUAUGAAGUCUCAGAGCCGGGUGUUGGUUCCGGUAGAGAUCGAGGGAAAUUAGUACCGAAGUCUGAGAUGGAAGAUGGCGAGAAAAGCUGUGUGUAUUUCUGAGGUGCCCGUACCGCAAACCGACACAGGUAGGUAGGAAGAAGAUUCUAAGGCCAACGGGAGAAGGGUUGUUAAGGAACUCGGCAAAUUGACCCCGUAACUUCGGGAGAAGGGGUGCUCCAGAGAUGGAGCCGCAGAGAAUCGGCCCAAGCAACUGUUUACCAAAAACACAGGUUUGUGCUAAAUCGAAAGAUGACGUAUACGAGCUGACGCCUGCCCGGUGCUGGAAGGUUAAGAGGAGAUGUGCAAGCAUUGAAUCGAAGCCCCAGUGAACGGCGGCCGUAACUAUAACGGUCCUAAGGUAGCGAAAUUCCUUGUCAGGUAAGUUCUGACCCGCAUGAAAGGCGUAAUGAUUUGGGCACUGUCUCAACAGCCCGCCCGGCGAAAUUGUAGUACCGGUGAAGAUGCCGGUUACCCGCGACAAGACGGAAAGACCCCAUGGAGCUUUACUGUAGCCUAAUAUUGGGUUUCGAUGUUGCAUGCACAGGAUAGAUGGGACACAGGGAAACAAGUGCUUUGGCAUUUGUGGAGUGGCCGUUGGGAUACCAUCCUUGCGAUAUUGGAAUUCUAACCUGCGGCUCUGAAUCGAGUCGGGGGACAUUGUUAGGUGGGCAGUUUGACUGGGGCGGUCGCCUCCUAAAGAGUAACGGAGGCGUUCAAAGGUUCGCUCAGCUUGAACGGAAAUCAAGCAAAAGAGUGCAAACGCAGAAGCGAGCCUAACUGCGAGACUGACGGGUCGAGCAGUAACGAAAGUUGGAGUUAGUGAUCCGGUGGUAUGUGAGUGGAAAUGCCAUCGCUCAACGGAUAAAAGCUACCCUGGGGAUAACAGGCUGAUCUCCCCCAAGAGUCCACAUCGACGGGGAGGUUUGGCACCUCGAUGUCGGCUCAUCACAUCCUGGGGCUGUAUUCGGUCCCAAGGGUUCGGCUGUUCGCCGAUUAAAGUGGUACGCGAGCUGGGUUCAGAACGUCGCGAGACAGUUCGGUCCCUAUCUGUCGUGGGCGCAGGAUAUUUGAGGAGCUCUGUCCUUAGUACGAGAGGACCGGGAUGGACGUACCUCUGGUGCACCAGUUGUCAUGCCAAUGGCACGGCUGGGCAGCUACGUACGGAACGGAUAAACGCUGAAAGCAUCUAAGCGUGAAGCCGACUCCAAGAUUAGAUAUCCCAUUGCAUAAGCAAGUAAGACCCCUUGAGGACUACGAGGUUGAUAGGCUGCGUGUGUAAGUGUCGUGAGGCAUUUAGCUUGGCAGUACUAAUAGGUCGAGGGCUUGACCAC